GGUCAAUACAUUUUGCAUUUGCAAUGGGCCAACGGUUUUUUGAGGUUGUUUGUGUUUUGUAGUUUGUAAUUUUUGUGAUUUUAUCCAGGAAAUAUAGGAGCUUUGGUGAUGAAAUUUUCAAACACAAAAGAAAAAGACAUAGAAGCAGUAUGGUAAUCAAAUACUGGCUGAAGUCUCCAAAAACUUGGUUUACCAGCAAAGAGAAAUCUAAAAAUGUUCAAACACCGGAUCCUGGAGGAAAAUCUGAAUGCUACAAAAAUUGAGAUUGAAUUGAGGUACAGUAACAUAAACCAGUAUGUAGCUCAAAAAAUUGCUACUUCAAACAGGAAGAGAUUGAAGUAUUCUGGAGCACCACAAUAAGGACCUUUCUUAAUAGAUAAAUGACAUGCAUAUGAGUUAUUUUAAUAAACAAACUUCUCACAUUA